rnacentral:tRNA from 1 species
GCGUCUGUAGCCACUAGUGGAAAGGCAGCACUCUAGUCUGUGUCUCAGCUUAGCUGAGGUCGUGAGUUCGACUCUCACCAGACACA